rnacentral:rRNA from 1 species
GACGAACGCUGGCGGCGUGCUUAACACAUGCAAGUCGAACGAAGAGCGAUGGAAGCUUGCGUGUAUCAAACUUAGUGGCGAACGGGUGAGUAACGCGUAAUCAACCUGCCCUUCAGAGGGGGACUACAGAAGGAAACGAUUGUUAAUACUGCAUACGACCUCAUCUCGGCAUGGAGGGGAGAUGAAAGGUGGCCGCGACAUGUAAGCUGUCAUAGCAGGUUGGUGGUGCGGCGGAUUCGCAAGUUGGAGGGGUAACGGAGCUUCAUGGCGAUGAUGAGUAGCCGGUCUGAGAGGAUGAGCGGCCGCAUUGGGACUGAGACACGGCACAGAGUGCUACAGGAGGCACCAGUGCGGCUACUGGCGCAAUGGACGAAAGUCUGACGACGCAACGCCGCAUGAGUGAUGAGGGACUUCGGGUUGUAGAGCUCUGUUAUCCGGGUCGAAACGCCUUCUUGCGAAUAGUGAGAAGGAUUGACGGUACUGGAUAAGAAAGCACCGGCUAACUACGUG